rnacentral:rRNA from 1 species
AGUCGAACGGCAGCACGGACUUCGGUCUGGUGGCGAGUGGCGAACGGGUGAGUAAUGUAUCGGAACGUGCCUAGUAGCGAAGGGAUAACUACGCGAAAGCGUAGCUAAUACCACAUACGCCCUUCAGGAAAGCAGGGGACCUUCGGGCCUCGCACUGUUAGAGCGGCCGAUAUCGGAUUAGCUGAUUGGUGGGGUAACGGCUCACCAAGGCGACGAUCCGUAGCUGGUUUGAGAGGACGACCAGCCACACUAAGGACUGAGACACGGCCCAGACUCCUACAGGAGAGCAGUGGGGAAUUUGGACAAUGGGGGAAACCCUGAUCCAGCCAUCCCGCGUGUGCGAUGAAGGCCUUCGGGUUGCCAAGCACUUUUGGCAGGAAAGAAACGGCACGGGAUAAUACCCCGUGCAUGACUGGCUACCACCAGAAUAAGCACCGGCUAACUACGUGCCAGCAGCCGCGGUAAUACGUAGGGUGCAAGCGUUAAUCCGGAAUUACUGGGCGUAAAGCGUGUGCAGGCGGUUCGGAAAGAAGAUGUGAAAUCCAGAGCUUAACUUUGGAACUGCAUUUUUAACUACCGAGCUAGAGAGUGUGUCAGAGGGAGGUGCAAAUUCCCGCGUGUAGCAGUGAAAUGCGUAGAUAUGCGGAGGAGACACCGAUGGCGAAGGCAGCCUCCUGGGAUAACACUGACGCUCAUGCACGAAAGCGUGGGGAGCAAACAGGAUUAGAUACCCUGAUGGCGAUCCCACGCCCUAAACGAUGUCAAUAGCUGUUGGGGCCUUCGGGCCUUGGUAGCGCAGCUAACGCGUGAAGUUGACCGCCUGGGGAGGUACGGUCGCAAAGAUUAAAACUCAAAGGAAUUGGCCUUGGGGACCCGCACAAGCGGUGGAUGAUGUGGAUUAAUUCGAUGCAACGCGAAAAACCUUACCUACCCUUGACAUGUCUGGAAUCCGAAGAGAUUUGGGAGUGCUCGCAAAGAGAACCGGAACACAGGUGCUGUGGCUGUCGUCAGCUCGUGUCGUGAGAUGUUGGGUUAAGUCCCGCAACGAGCGCAACCCACUUGUCGUGUAGUUGCUACGAAAGGGCACUCUAAUGAGACUGCCGGUGACAAACCGGAGGAAGGUGCGUGGGGAUGACGUCCAAGUCCUCAUGGCCCUUAUGGGUAGGGCUUCACACGUCAUACAAUGGUCGGGACAGAGGGUCGCCAACCCGCGAGGGGAAUAGAAAUCCCAGAAGCCCGAUCAUGAGUCGAGGUCGCAGUCUGCAACUCGACUGCGUGAAGUCGGAAUCGCUAGUAGUCGCGGAUCAGCAUGUCGCGGUGAAUACGUUCCCGGGUCUUGUACACACCGCCCGUCACACCAUGGGAGUGGGUUUUACCAGUGGUUAGCCUAACCGUAAGAGGCGAUUACCACGGUAGGAUUCAUGACUGGGGUGAAGUCGUAACAAGGUAACUCUGUUA